UGAAGGCUGUGGGAAUUCAGUGUACCACUUGCCCAACUUUUUAAGUAGUUUUCCUCACAAUUGAUAUGACGGAAACAUCCUGAGAGGAGCUUAAUUUAACUUUAUAGGAAGCAAAAAUAGUUAAAUAGUUUGCACUGGAAAGGAUUCACUGAUGCUGCCUGACCUGAUGAGUUCCUCCAGCGUCAUCGUGUUUUUCAUCUAGAUUCCAGCAUCUGCAGUCCUUUGUUUCUUUGGAGAGGCCAUGUUAGAGGAAUGAACCAGUGAAAACCAAGCAUUGGAUCUCAAAGAGGAAGACGUUCAUGCAAAAAAAACAUUGAAACUGACAUAAGAGCCAAAUCUAAGCUGGUCAAGAAUGGAGGAACAGGUCAUCAGCUGGCACAUGCUGGCCAAAGAAGAGGUUGUCUCCAAAUGGAUCAGAGCCUCCAGCUCAAGCAUCAAUUGAGGAGCAGCUUCACAACUAUGAGGAUCUUCACAGAUUUCUGGUGCUCCUGAUUAUUAUUUCAAUCAAUUUAAUGCUGCAAUAUUUUUAAUGAGCAGCAAAUUUAUUUUUCCGUUUAUUGACAACUUUAUUUUUCAGAGUAUGAACAUAAAUUCUGUACACUUAAAUAAUUAUUUGUCUAUGCAAAGUAAGUGACACUUCACAUUGAUUAUUUUGUCUGUAAUAAAUUCUAAGUGGCCAGUGCAGUUAAGUCCCAUUUAUUUUGUAUUUAUGUGUUUCUGAAAGAGAACCGGUAGAGAUUAAAGGAAGUUAAUAAAACUAUGAAAUGAUUCCAAGAUUAGUUACUCUGCCAUAUGAGUAAAGAAAGGAAGUCUGGUUGGAAUUGUGCAAGAAUAUGAAUAUGCAAUUUUUGGAAGGUUUCUUAGACUAGAAACUGUAUAGAAAGUGAUAAAGUGCACUACAGUGGUAGAAGACACCCAAUGUGCAUGAAGUCAAGCAGGUUAGCAGAGCAAGUCCCCAAAUGUUAGGAGGGUUACACACAGCAACUCGCUUAAUUUCAAGAGUGGCACAAGUAAUAUGAUCUCACAGCAAGGUUGCAGCCUUUACAAUGACAGUUCUCAAUGGGAAUCACCACUUGUAGUACUGGAGCCUGAUCUGCAGACUGAACCAAGGAGUGGAGGGAUGGAGAAAGGAGCAGAUACCCUGCUUCUCUGAUAGACACCAGAUGCCUAGUGGUGAAGGUGGACACUGAGAGCACAUAUCAUAGCAGUCUGGAUUCUCCAUCCCAGCCAAGGGGAAGAAACUCAGAGUCAUCUCAUUCAUCGGACACGAUUGCACGGCUGGUUUCAGUGGCAGAUUUUCCAGUAGCAGUUAAGAAAUGGACAGUCUCUUUAAGUUACCCUUGAGCAGU